CACCACCGCUGCCACCAUCCUCUGCCAGAAAGUCUGUCAGAGUAAGGGUUUUCCCCUUCUUGUUCUUCUUCUUAGCUGAAGCGGCGCAUGGUGGGCAGAGGGAGAGAAGGCAAAGG